GACGAACGCUGGCGGCGUGCCUAAUACAUGCAAGUAGAACGCUGAAGGAGGAGCUUGCUUCUCCGGAUGAGUUGCGAACGGGUGAGUAACGCGUAGGUAACCUGCCUGGUAGCGGGGGAUAACUAUGGGAAACGAUAGCUAAUACCGCAUAAGAGUCGACGUUGCAUGACAUUUGCUGAAAAGGGGCAAUUGCAUCCCUACCAGAUGGGACCGGCGGUGGCAUUAGUUGGUUGGGGGGGGUAAAGGCCUACCAUGGUGUACAAUGCAUGGCUGGACCUGAGGGGGUUGUUCUGGCCCUCUGUGGAUUGGUGUUGUGUGUCCUUAGGUGGGUGGUUUGGUGUGCUAUGAGGUGUGCUGCUGGUGAGGGGUGCAAUUCCUGUCAUGUAUGCACCUGA
rnacentral:rRNA from 1 species